rnacentral:rRNA from 1 species
AGAGUUUGAUCCUGGCUCAGGAUGAACGCUGGCGGCGUGCUUAACACAUGCAAGUCGAACGAAGAUAUUAAGAAUGAGAGCUUCGGCAGGAAUUUUUCUUAUCUUAGUGGCGGACGGGUGAGUAACGUGUGGGCAACCUGCCCUGCACUGGGGAAUAAUCAUUGGAAACGAUGACUAAUACCGCAUACGGUUCCUGGGAGGCAUCUUCCGGGAAAGAAAGGAUUUAUUCGGUGCAGGAUGGGCCCGCAUCUGAUUAGCUAGUUGGUGAGAUAACAGCCCACCAAGGCGACGAUCAGUAGCCGACCUGAGAGGGUGACCGGCCACAUUGGGACUGAGACACGGCCCAAACUCCUACGGGAGGCAGCAGUGGGGAAUAUUGCACAAUGGGCGAAAGCCUAAUGCAGCAACGCCGCGUGAAGGAAGAAGGGUUUCGGCUCGUAAACUUCUAUCAACAGGGACGAAAGAAAUGACGGUACCUGAAUAAGAAGCCCCGGCUAACUACGUGCCAGCAGCCGCGGUAAUACGUAGGGGGCAAGCGUUAUCCGGAAUUACUGGGUGUAAAGGGUGAGUAGGCGGCAUGGUAAGCCAGAUGUGAAAGCCUUGGGCUUAACCCCGAGGAUUGCAUUUGGAACUAUCAAGCUAGAGUACAGGGAGAGGAAAGCGGAAUUCCUAGUGGAGCGGGUGAAAUGCGUAGAUUAUUAAGAAAAACACCAGUGGCCGAAGGCGGCUUUUCUGGACUGAAACUGACGCUGAGGCACGAAAGCGUGGGAGCGAACAGGAUUAGAUACCCUGGUAGUCCACGCCGUAAACGAUGAGUGCUAGGUGUCGGGGAGGAAUCCCCGGUGCCGCAGCUAACGCAAUAAGCACUCCACCUGGGGAGUACGACCGCAAGGUUGAAACUCAAAGGAAUUGACGGGGGCCCGCACAAGCGGUAGAGCAUGUGGUUUAAUUCGAAGCAACGCGAAGAACCUUACCAAGGCUUGACAUCCUGAUGACAGGCGUAGAGAUAUGCUUUCCCUUCGGGGCAUCGGAGACAGGUGGUGCAUGGUUGUCGUCAGCUCGUGUCGUGAGAUGUUGGGUUAAGUCCCGCAACAAGCGCAACCCUUACCCUUAGUAGCCAGCAGGAGAGCUGGGCACUCUAGGGGGACUGCCGGGGAUAACCCGGAGGAAGGCGGGGAUGACGUCAAAUCAUCAUGCCCCUUAUGGCCAGGGCUACACACGUGCUACAAUGGCGUAAACAAAGGGAAGCGAGACGGUGACGUUGAGCAAAUCCCAGAAAUAACGUCCCAGUUCGGAUUGUAGUCUGCAACCCGACUACAUGGAGCUGGAAUCGCCAGUAAUCGCGGAUCAGCAUGCCGCGGUGAAUACGUUCCCGGGCCUUGCACUCACCGCCCGUCA